AUACGAAGGUCCCAAGCGUUAUUCGGAAUCACUGGGCGUAAAGAGUACGUAGGCGGUUUGGUAAGUCAGGUGUGAAAUCCCGAAGCUCAACUUCGGAACUGCAUCCGAUACUGCCAGACUAGAGUAAUGGAGAGGCAGGUGGAAUUCUCGGUGUAGCAGUGAAAUGCGUGGAUAUCGAGAGGAAGACCAAUGGCGAAGGCAGCCUGCUGGACAUUUACUGACGCUGAGGUACGAAGGCUAGGGUAGCGAAAGGGAUUAGAAACCCCAGUAGUCC
rnacentral:rRNA from 1 species